GCCGAGCCAAGUAGCGAUGGCUUGUCACCCGAGCGGGGGCAAUAAGGUGGUGCGGAUGCCUGGUCGUCUGCGCUAGGGCCUGGGCCUGUGGUUCGCUCUAUGCGGCCCGCCCGUUCCAAGUUGCGUAGCGUGUAUGGGGCGCCCUGGCGAAAGCUUAGAGCGUCCCUGCACCUAGAGUGGCGGGUAUUGCGUGAGGCUGGUUUCACAGAGCAGCGAGUACCGCCCGCUUCCAACGGUGGAAGGAUAACGGGCCUCUGCAGCCCUGGCCCGCUUCCGGCCCAUGUGCCUUCCAUGGCAGACCACCAUCUUU
rnacentral:SRP_RNA from 1 species